rnacentral:rRNA from 6 species
UUGACCUCGGAUCAGGUAGGGAUACCCGCUGAACUUAAGCAUAUCAAUAAGCGGAGGAAAAGAAACCAACAGGGAUUGCUCUAGUAACGGCGAGUGAAGCAGCAAUAGCUCAAAUUUGAAAUCUGGCGUCUUCGACGUCCGAGUUGUAAUUUGUAGAGGAUGCUUCUGAGUGGCCACCGACCUAAGUUCCUUGGAACAGGACGUCAUAGAGGGUGAGAAUCCCGUAUGCGGUCGGAAAGGCGCUCUAUACGUAGCUCCUUCGACGAGUCGAGUUGUUUGGGAAUGCAGCUCUAAAUGGGAGGUAAAUUUCUUCUAAAGCUAAAUAUUGGCCAGAGACCGAUAGCGCACAAGUAGAGUGAUCGAAAGAUGAAAAGCACUUUGGAAAGAGAGUUAAAAAGCACGUGAAAUUGUUAAAAGGGAAGGGAUUGCAACCAGACUUGCUCGCGGUGUUCCGCCGGUCUUCUGACCGGUCUACUCGCCGCGUUGCAGGCCAGCAUCGUCUGGUGCCGCUGGAUAAGACUUGAGGAAUGUAGCUCCCUCGGGAGUGUUAUAGCCUCUUGUGAUGCAGCGAGCGCCGGGCGAGGUCCGCGCUUCGGCUAGGAUGCUGGCGUAAUGGUCGUAAUCCGCCCGUCUUGAAACACGGACCAAGGAGUCUAACAUCUAUGCGAGUGUUCGGGUGUCAAACCCCUACGCGUAAUGAAAGUGAACGGAGGUGAGAACCGCAAGGUGCAUCAUCGACCGAUCCUGAUGUCUUCGGAUGGAUUUGAGUAAGAGCAUAGCUGUUGGGACCCGAAAGAUGGUGAACUAUGCCUGAAUAGGGUGAAGCCAGAGGAAACUCUGGUGGAGGCUCGCAGCGGUUCUGACGUGCAAAUCGAUCGUCAAAUUUGGGUAUAGGG